rnacentral:rRNA from 1 species
CCUACGGGGUGCAGCAGUGGGAAUAUUGGACAAUGGGCGAAAGCCUGAUCCAGCCAUGCCGCGUGUGUGAAGAAGGCCUUCGGGUUGUAAAGCACUUUCAGUGGGGAAGAAAGCCUUGGGGCUAAUACCCUCGAGGAAGGACAUCACCCACAGAAGAAGCACCGGCUAACUCCGUGCCAGCAGCCGCGGUAAUACGGAGGGUGCGAGCGUUAAUCGGAAUUACUGGGCGUAAAGCGCGCGUAGGCGGUCUGAUAAGCCGGUUGUGAAAGCCCCGGGCUCAACCUGGGAACGGCAUCCGGAACUGUCAGGCUAGAGUGCAGGAGAGGAAGGUAGAAUUCCCGGUGUAGCGGUGAAAUGCGUAGAGAUCGGGAGGAAUACCAGUGGCGAAGGCGGCCUUCUGGACUGACACUGACGCUGAGGUGCGAAAGCGUGGGUAGCAAACAGGAUUAGAUACCCCGGUAGUC